rnacentral:rRNA from 1 species
UGCAAGUCGAGGGGCAGCAUAAUGGUAGUAAUACUAUUGAUGGCGACCGGCGGACGGGUGAGUAACGCGUAUGCAACCUGCCCUUCACAGGGGGAUAACCGGGAGAAAUUCCGACUAAUACCGCAUACGUCCUCCGGGGGCAUCCCCGGGGGAUGAAAGAGUUAUCGGUGAAGGAUGGGCAUGCGUGAUAUUAGGUAGUUGGCGGGGCAACGGCCCACCAAGCCUACGAUAUCUAGGGGUUCUGAGAGGAAGGUCCCCACAUUGGUACUGAGACACGGACCAAACUCC